rnacentral:rRNA from 1 species
UAAUACGGAGGGUGCAAGCGUUAAUCGGAAUUACUGGGCGUAAAGCGCACGCAGGCGGUUUGUUAAGUCAGAUGUGAAAUCCCCGGGCUCAACCUGGGAACUGCAUUUGAAACUGGCAAGCUAGAGUCUCGUAGAGGGGGGUAGAAUUCCAGGUGUAGCGGUGAAAUGCGUAGAGAUCUGGAGGAAUACCGAUGGCGAAGGCGGCCCCCUGGACGAAGACUGACGCUCAGGUGCGAAAGCGUGGGGAGCAAACAGGAUUAGAUACCCUGGUAGUCCACGCUGUAAACGAUGUCGAUUUGGAGGUUGUGCCCUUGAGGCGUGGCUUCCGGAGCUAACGCGUUAAAUCGACCGCCUGGGGAGUACGGCCGCAAGGUU